rnacentral:rRNA from 1 species
AGGGUUUGAUCAUGGCUCAGAUUGAACGCUGGCGGCAGGCUUAACACAUGCAAGUCGAGCGGUAACAUUUCUAGCUUGCUAGAAGAUGACGAGCGGCGGACGGGUGAGUAAUACUUAGGAAUCUACCUAGUAGUGGGGGAUAGCUCGGGGAAACUCGAAUUAAUACCGCAUACGACCUACGGGAGAAAGGGGGCAACUUGUUGCUCUCGCUAUUAGAUGAGCCUAAGUCGGAUUAGCUAGAUGGUGGGGUAAAGGCCUACCACGGCGACGAUCUGUAGCUGGUCUGAGAGGAUGAUCAGCCACACCGGGACUGAGACACGGCCCGGACUCCUACGGGAGGCAGCAGUGGGGAAUAUUGGACAAUGGGGGAAACCCUGAUCCAGCCAUGCCGCGUGUGUGAAGAAGGCCUUUUGGUUGUAAAGCACUUUAAGCAGUGAAGAAGACUCUUCGGUUAAUACCCGGAGACGAUGACAUUAGCUGCAGAAUAAGCACCGGCUAACUCUGUGCCAGCAGCCGCGGUAAUACAGAGGGUGCAAGCGUUAAUCGGAAUUACUGGGCGUAAAGCGAGCGUAGGUGGCUUGAUAAGUCAGAUGUGAAAUCCCCGGGCUUAACCUGGGAACUGCAUCUGAUACUGUUAGGCUAGAGUAGGUGAGAGGAAGGUAGAAUUCCAGGUGUAGCGGUGAAAUGCGUAGAGAUCUGGAGGAAUACCGAUGGCGAAGGCAGCCUUCUGGCAUCAUACUGACACUGAGGCUCGAAAGCGUGAGUAGCAAACAGGAUUAGAUACCCUGGUAGCCCACGCCGUAAACGAUGUCUACUAGUCGUUGGGUCCCUUGAGGACUUAGUGACGCAGCUAACGCAAUAAGUAGACCGCCUGGGGGAGU